rnacentral:rRNA from 1 species
GGGGGGGGGGGGGGGGGGGGCGGGGGCGGGGAGGUGGGGGGGAGGGGUGAGGAGGUUGCUGGUCUGGCGUUGGCGGGGGGGGGGUGGGUAACGCGUGGAUCACCUACGUAUAAGACUGGGAUGACUGCGGGACCCCGGCGCUGGUACCGGAGAAGAUUGUGAACCGCAUUGUUCCAGAGUGAAAGCCGGUUUUGCUGUGUCUGAUUGCUGGAUCGGCGCCGAUUGAGCGAGUUGGGCAGGUAACGGCUUACCAAGGCAACGAUGCGGAGCCGAACUAAGGGGGUGAUCGGCCCCCAUGGAACUGAGACACGGUCCAGACUCCUACGGGAGGCAGCAGUAGGGAAUCUUCCGCAAUGGGCGAAAGCCUGACGGAGCAACGCCGCGUGAGUGAUGCAGGUCUUCGGAUCGUAAAACUCUGUUAUUAGGGAAGAACAAAUGUGUAAGUAACUAUGCACGUCUUGACGGUACCUAAUCAGAAAGCCACGGCUAACUACGUG